GACGAACGCUGGCGGCGUGCUUAACACAUGCAAGUCGAACGGAAAGGCCCUGCUUUUGUGGGGUGCUCGAGUGGCGAACGGGUGAGUAACACGUGAGUAACCUGCCCUUGACUUUGGGAUAACUUCAGGAAACUGGGGCUAAUACCGGAUAGGAGCUCCUGCUGCAUGGUGGGGGUUGGAAAGUUUCGGCGGUUGGGGUUGGACUCGCGGCUUAUCAGCUUGUUGGUGGGGUAGUGGCUUACCAAGGCUUUGACGGGUAGCCGGCCUGAGAGGGUGACCGGCCACAUUGGGACUGAGAUACGGCCCAGACUCCUCCGGGAGGCAGCAGUGGGGAAUAUUGCACAAUGGGCGGAAGCCUGAUGCAGCAACGCCGCGUGCGGGAUGACGGCCUUCGGGUUGUAAACCGCUUUCGCCUGUGACGAAGCGUGAGUGACGGUAAUGGGUAAAGAAGCACCGGCUAACUACGUG
rnacentral:rRNA from 1 species